UUUGCAAUGGAGGGAGACUUUAAACGUGCACAUGAAGGCACGCACGCACGCACGCACGCGCCCGCACGCCAUCCACUUUACGUAAUAUGGCACGUGAAUGUCAACAGAACUUGGAAAGAGUCUAUUCACACGAACCCUGUACCCAAGGAACAUUGUGUGCCGUGUUGUCCCGCGAGACUUGCCGGGUCAAACUAUGUUUACCCCCUCCCCCCCUUUUCACACGCGCAACAGCAUGCGCGCGCAAGUGCCCAAAUUGCUGAUUCGCAAAUGCAGCCCAUUGAACACAAACAAGGCGAACCACAGUGAAUUGGCGCCCGUGCAGCUGAACUGGUGGCUUCCCUGCUUUAAACCCCGCUGUUUCCCCUACCAUUCACAGACUCCGCCGCAGAAGCCGUGUGAAUGAGUGAGUGGGGAAGAAAGGGAUGAAUGAAUGACUGCUCGAGUCACAGGAUCUCUAUCUGAAUCUCCAAGUGUGUCGUCAGCCUUGGCACUGACCCUUGAGUGCUGCGUGACUUCCACUGGUGCUGAUGACGUCUCCUGUGAUACAUCGCUUCCCAUGUUUCCAGCAUGUCCUGUGAUCACACAUUUCAGAGUCCCACACUUUUUACCUGCAAAAGCCUGUGUUUGUCCCCUUACUGUUUAACCAAAUCACUGUUAUCUUGUUAAAUAAAAUGAAAAAACAAAUGUUCACAAGGGCUCCAUGGUCCCUCAGCGGGGUCAGAUGCUUUUUCCAUCUCAGAUAGAGACCUUCCAAUUCUUUCUUUUCACCACUUUUACUUGGUGGCUUGGCUAUCUAUUAGGGGGUAGACAAAAACCCUUUCCUGAUCACCCACUUCUCUUCCACCUCCCCCACCAGUACCCUUUUUUAGUCUGUUUUGCACUCUUUUCUGGCAGCAAAAACCUGAAAGGUGUGGUGCUGAGUGGCUACUGAACGUGAGUUGGAGCAUCCUUCGACAUGUGAAAUGUGUGGCUCUCAAUUCGAGAGGAUGAAUCAUGAGCCCUAAUUCAGUCCUAAUGGAAAAUUAUUUUUGCCACAGCAGUGCUUCUUGCCUCUGUCACUCUUGAUAUCUAUACUCAAUCCUUUAGUUAUUUCUUCUUUCUUCGUAUUUCAUAUGUUACCAACAAAAGCACUCCCACACCCCAGGCUUAGAAACAAAAGCCCUCAGGUGACUAUGCUGGGGUUGGCAUAGGGUGAGUCAAAAAUUUCAUUGAGAAGUAAGUGAAAUCCAUGUAGACAACCUGCAUGUGUGUGCUGUCACCCCAAAAGGUUGAGACAGUGGGUGUCCUUGUGAAAAAUACAUUUUCCUAUUUCUCAAAUAGUUAUUUUCUGCGCUUAUACUUUAUUAAAGUGCAACUGCUUAUGAAGUUUGCGUGACAAAAGCUUAUAUAUAUUACUAAUCAUUACAAUAUUUUUUUUCUUCCUCGAGAAUAGGAUGCCUUGCAAAAAUAUUUGGACUGUGAGAGGAAGCCGGAGUAGCUGGAGAAAACCCACGCAAGAACGGGCAGAACAUGUAAACUCCAUGCAGAAAAACCCCAGGGUGGGAUUCAAACCCCUGGGGUUCCUCAAGUUUUGUCUUCAUUUAAAGAUACCAUGACCAUGUAUA